CUAUCAGUGGGUCCCCAAGGAGCAGACUGGGAAACACUACCAUACAAGCUUGCAGAGAGCUGAGACCGGGGAGAUAACGCCGGCGGCACGUGUUAAACAAGGCUUAAGGCCACAUGACCAGUCCGAGGCCAAGGAGGACACACAGGCAGGAUGGUGAGACAUGCCAGACCUCAAUCUGAAGACACACAGCACUGAAGAGUCACCAGGCAGCUACACAGAUACCUGAGGACUAAUCCAACUGCUUAUCCAGUGGAGGGCUGUGGAGUCAGCCUGGAGAGCUGCCCGGUAACCAGGGGAAGCAAGGCGGGGAACCGGCGGGGAAGCACCUUGGAAGGGCGCCAGUAAGACACGGGCACUUUUUAACCCAAAUAACUGAAUGUGAAGUUCUUAGAUCGUAUAAAGAGGCCACAUACUUAAGUUAAUACAAAGUUAGGAAAUUCCUGUGCAAAUGCCCAUUAAGUUAAUAAGUUAUGGUUUAACUCAAAUACUGUCUAUGUGGUAAUAAUCUGAAGAAAAGUCAUUUUAGAACUGAAUUCACCUAAAACUAUAUCCUUUCCCUCUUUAAAUCAUUAGACACACCAAAAUAAUAUUUAGCGAAUUAUGCCUUGCUUUUCAUAAAAUUCUGAGUCCACCCGUCCUCCUGGGAAAACAGUAUAAUAAAAUUCCACCUUUUUGGACAUUAUCUGCAUGGAUUAAAGCAAGUCGGUUUAUAAUGCCAAUCAGCAUACAAUUGUUUAUGAUGCAAUGUGAGGCCACAUCUAGACUUAGAGAAAUGAAUAUUGAUUUGUGAACCAAAGCACUAAACAAAAAAAACACCAACUCUGCAUCUCACAUGCAGCACAGGAUUAAUUUCACGUCUGUUAUAUAUGGAGCGUAACCAGGGAAUAGCUGUUGCUUAUCCCCAGAGCUGGGUUUACCUAGA